rnacentral:rRNA from 1 species
UGGGGAAUUUUGGACAAUGGGCGAAAGCCUGAUCCAGCAAUGCCGCGUGUGUGAAGAAGGCCUUCGGGUUGUAAAGCACUUUUGUCUGGAAAGAAAAGCAUCGGGCUAAUACCCUGGUGUUCUGACGGUACCGGAAGAAUAAGCACCGGCUAACUUCGCGCCAGCAGCCGCGGUAAUACGAAGGGUGCAAGCGUUACUCGGAAUUACUGGGCGUAAAGCGUGCGUAGGUGGUUUGUUAAGUCUGAUGUGAAAGCCCUGGGCUCAACCUGGGAAUGGCAUUGGAAACUGGCGGACUCGAGUGCGGUAGAGGGGUGUGGAAUUCCCGGUGUAGCAGUGAAAUGCGUAGAGAUCGGGAGGAACACCAGUGGCGAAGGCGACACCCUGGACCAGCACUGACACUGAGGCACGAAAGCGUGGGGAGCAAACAGGAUUAGAUACCCUGGUAGUCCACGCCCUAAACGAUGCGACUGGAUGUUGGGUGCAACUUGGCACUCAGUAUCGAAGCUAACGCGUUAAGUUCGCCGCCUGGGGAGUACGGUCGCAAGACUGAAACUCAAAUGAAUUGACGGGGUCAUAGCUGUUUCCU